UGCAUAUGUGUACAAUAUUCCAAUUAAUCACAUGGUUAAUCAGCAAUUUCUUUUUAAAUCAUUGUUGUUGUUUUUUGCACUCAAACCUGCUGACAAUUAAACACAAAGUGUCAAAGACGUAACUGCGGCGCUAAAUGGCUGGACACAAUCGACUGUAGUGGAUCGGAUAAUUUGAUUCGCUUUCACACUUCUCGGGAAAAUCUCACAAAUACCCAAGUAGGCGGAGUUUAAAUCAUGCUGUCAGCGUGUGUUCGUGUAUUCAACACUCAUUUUGACACUGUGCAAAUUGUCAAAAGUCUGGGUAGGGUUAAUUAGCAAGUGCAGAUAUCAAAGAAAAUCGGGCGACUUGCAUUUCACUUUGAGGUUAGAUCUGAGCGAAGUUUUAAGUUCCAAAGCGCCUAUUUUGCUCAAGUUGCCCACUCUCGAGAGCCCGAAGUCAGCAUUAAUAUGUCAACUAAACAAUAAUAAUGUGAUCUGACCAGCGGGAAAGAGCGAGACAAAGCCCCCAGAACAUAAGAGAGAAAUCCUUUUACUCUCCGGCUAACGGGUACUUGGGAAUACCGAAAACUACUCCAUUACCGAAAACUACCGAAAACCAGUUUUGAUUACCGAAAACUACUUAUAUUUCUAAAAAUUGGCGGGAAUUAGAGGGAGAUAAAUUUGCAAGACGUUAGAAGUUUGAUGAAAUGAAAGAGGACAACAUUUUACAUCUAUUGUAUAUGUUCAUGUAUUUUUCAUUUAAUAUUGCCCAACGAUUUGACAGAUGGCGGGAAUAAGACGGAAUCACAGUGUUGGCUGAUGAAGGCUGGUGAAAUAAAAAAGAACAACAUUUUACAUCUGUAUGUUCACGUUUUAUCAUAUAAAGAUGUUUUUUUUUUGUUUUUUUUUUUAAACUGGUCUGACACAAUGUUCAUCGUGUUAAACAUAUUUACAAAAUAUUUACAAAAUAUUUACAUAUAUAGAUAUAUAUAUAUCUGUUACUUUUUUUCUUCUUUCUUUCAGUUUAUGUUUGCAGAGUAAAAUCUGGUGUUACACAAUAUUCAUAGUGUGUGACACAGUGGAAAUCAUACAUGUUCAGCUCCUUUAGCCUUUUUUGUUACCGUCACCGUACGUUCAUUAAUUUUCCGUUUACGUUGUCCAGGUUUUUUGCCUUCUGUCCUUGGGCCAACUACAGUACUUCGUCCGUCAGUCGAAGUGACAAGUUUGUCAUCCUUAACAACAUAUUGUCUGUAGCGUCGGUACAGCUUAGUCCGUUCUUGUUCAGUCAUGUCGAUCCAAC
rnacentral:lncRNA from 1 species